GAUUGAUAAGUUUACGGAUUUAUCAACAUGUCCUUGAGUUCAAGGGAGCCUUAAUCCUGCGCUUUAAGCGUAAACACAUGAACAGGC
ncrna:unclassified sequences RT-9 RNA